CAAGGAGUUCUUUGAGCCAGGCCUGUUUUUAGAAUUGAUACAAUGGGAUGCUAGGUACCUAAAAGGGUCGGGCAAGUUUUGUCUUAAUGAGAUUAGUUGACUCAGCUGUGUUUUCUCUCGUUCAGACUUACUGAGGAACUUGGUGGACACAGCAGCAUUUUUUCUGAUUCAGACUUACUGAGGAGAUUGGUCUACUUAGCAGGAAUUUAGAUGGGCAGUCCUUUGGAAAGCAUCUACAGUGAUUGGUAGAUGUAGGGACUUAGGGGAGGUAACAUGGGAGAAAAACCCCUAUAUAAGAAAAAGCAGAAUCCUUUUGGAGAUAUCCGUUUGGAGGAAUUCCUUUUGGAGGAUCUCUGAUGAGGACCGCUUGGGAAGAAUCUCUUGAGAGAGGCUCUGGAGAAGGGAAGCUCUUGGAGGACAAUCUCUAAGGAGGUCUCGCUGGAGCUCCUCUAAGGGGACUCUGUCCCUCUGGAGGCUCUGGAGAGAGGCCCUUUGGAACAGUCUCUGGCUGGAAAUCUCUCUGAUGAAGUCAGCUGAGAUGGAGCUGGCCUGGUGUCACUAGAAUCCUUGUUUAGGCAGACCUUGUGGUGAAUGUUAAAAGACUGACUGACUGAUUCUCUCUCUUAAGACUCAGGUCUAGGCCAUAUUGGCUUGAGGCCCUUCAUAAUUAUUCCUUUCCUACUCUUUCUCUCUUUCUCUAAUUCCUCAUUAUAUUAUUAAUUAAAAAUCUCUAUAAAACCCAGUUGACUUCGGUAUUUGAAUAAUUGGGAAUAUUUCCCUGGCGACCACCUUAUAUUUGAUUUAAAAACCAAGACACUGUAGUGAAACAUAUUUUCUGCGGUCAAAUUUACUCACCCUCUCUUAUAUCUAUCACAAUUUAUAUCUUCCAUUAUUUUAAUCACUACAGUUUAAGACCUCAACCAUUUUAAAUCUCACAAUAAGCAGCCCUGAAAAGGGCCAGGUAAGCUGUCACACUGGAGAUGUUAAUCUUCCCUGAACACCCCAUACACAACAUAUGGUUAAGAGAAGAAGUCUUGGUUAGAACUUCUUUCAAGAAAUCUUUUCUAAUUACUACCACUCAUGGGAAUCUCUCCCUGUUAAAA
rnacentral:lncRNA from 1 species